rnacentral:lncRNA from 1 species
GUAAGAGGGGAAAACCCCAUGUUAGGAUGAGGUGUUUAAUUUUAAUUGGACAUGGUAAUUAGGUGAGCCAAAGAGGGGUUUCUGAUUUCUGGACUUCAACACUUUGAUAACUGGACCUUGGUAGUCAACCUCAGGAGAAGGAAGUAUCCAAAUAAGGGAAUGGAUCUUGGUAGGUAGUUUUAGGAAUGUAAUCUAACGGUUUUUAGCAAGGCCGAGGGAAUUGGGGGAAGACAGGCAAGGCCCGCCAGAGACACGUGCUUGAAUGGGCUAGUGUCCUUUCAGUGGGGGUAGGGACAGAAUCUCAUGGAGGUGGACCAUGGGUUGUGGGUAGGGACAGUGUGCAGAAAGUUAGACUUUCACCUGUGAGAUUCUGGUCAGUGAGGUGAAAAGACCGUUGUCAUUAAAGAUGAUAGAAAGACCUUAAGUGGGGUUUGCUGGUGGUGUAGCUCAGUGGUUCAGCACUUACUUGGCAUUCACAAGUCCCUAGGUAUGAUCCCCAGUAGCCACUCCACACCACACACACCUCCAACAGGAAGGAAAGAUACUGUUAUACACUGCACUGUUUUUGUCUUGUUGUUUUGGUUUUCCAAGACAUGAUUUCUCUGUGUAACAGCUCUGGCUGUCCUGGAACUCACUAUGUAGACCAGGCUGGCCUCAAACUCACAGAGAUCCACCUGCCUCUACCUCCCGAAUGCUGGAUUAAAGGCAUGUGCCACCACUGCUUGGCUCUGUUUUUGUUCUUGACAUGCUCAAAUCUAAGAAGCAAUGAUGGGGAUGAAAAAUGUCAAAGAAAGGUUGUCCCAUACUAUCUGGACACUGAAAUCUGUCUUCAAAAAAGGAAGCCACUCCAGAGGGUUGUAUUUGUGGGUGUUUAUUCAUCCUGCUGAGGAG